rnacentral:rRNA from 1 species
UACGUAGGUGGCAAGCGUUGUCCGGAUUUAUUGGGUUUAAAGGGUGCGUAGGCGGCCCUGUAAGUCAGUGCUGAAAUAUCCCGGCUUAACCGGGAGGGUGGCAUUGAUACUGCGGGGCUAGAGUACAGAUGAGGUAGGCGGAAUCGACGGUGUAGCGGUGAAAUUCGUAGAUAUCGGGAGGAACACCAGUGGCGAAGGCGGCGACCUGGGCCAAUACUGACGCUGAGGUGCGAAAGCGUGGGGAGCAAACAGG